GCCCGGUUAGCUCAAUCGGUAGAGCGCGAGGUAUGUUCUUUCUUCCUAGCUUAUCAUUGAUUAACCUUGCUAAUUCCUAGAGUAGACUCUUACACCAAGAGGUUAUCUCGAGGUUGCGGGUUCGACCCCCGCAUCGGGCU
rnacentral:tRNA from 1 species